AACGAACGCUGGCGGCAUGCCUAACACAUGCAAGUCGAACGAGACCUUCGGGUCUAGUUGCGCACGGGUGCGUAACGCGUGGGAACCUGCCCUUAGGUUCGGAAUAACUCCCCUAAAGGGGUGCUAAUACCGGAUAAUGUCUUCGGACCAAAGAUUUAUCGCCUUUGGAUGGGCCCGCGUUGGAUUAGCUAGUUGGUAGGGUAAAAGCCUACCAAGGCGACGAUCCAUAGCUGGUCUGAGAGGAUGAUCAGCCACACUGGGACUGAGACACGGCCCAGACUCCUACGGGAGGCAGCAGUGGGGAAUAUUGGACAAUGGGCGAAAGCCUGAUCCAGCAAUGCCGCGUGAGUGAUGAAGGCCUUAGGGUUGUAAAGCUCUUUUACCCGGGAUGAUAAUGACAGUACCGGGAGAAUAAGCUCCGGCUAACUCCGUG
rnacentral:rRNA from 1 species